GAUGAACGCUAGCGGCAGGCCUAACACAUGCAAGUCGAGGGGCAGCACAGGAACAGCAAUGUUUUGGUGGCGACCGGCGGACGGGUGCGUAACGCGUAUGCAACCUACCUUUAACAGGGGGAUAACGGAGAGAAAUUUCCACUAAUACCCCAUAACAUCGAUCAAGGCAUCUUGAUUGGUUGAAAACUCCGGUGGUUAAAGAUGGGCAUGCGUUGUAUUAGUUAGUUGGUGAGGUAAUGGCUCACCAAGCCUACGAUACAUAGGGGGACUGAGAGGUUAGCCCCCAACACUGGUACUGAGACACGGACCAGACUACUACGGGAGGCAGGAGUGAGGAAUAGUGGUCGAUGGGGGCAACCCUGAACCGGCCAUGCGGCGUGCAGGAAGACGGCUCUAUGAGUUGUAAACUGAGGUGAAGCAGGGAUAAAGCACAGUAUGUAUACUGUGUUGAAGGUACUGUAAGAAUAAGGAUCGGCUAACUCCGUGCCAGCAGCCGCAGUAA
rnacentral:rRNA from 1 species